GCAGACAAAAAAACCCCCGUGUUUCCUACACAGAGCCACUCCCCUCCCCAGCUCUACACCCUUGUGCAGAAAUACCAGAAUAACAAUAUGAUUCAACACAGAAAAACGGAUACUGCAAAAUAAGAGCCUUUUACGUGGAGCAUUUUCCAUCCUCAGCUCCAUUCCGCUCAGGGAAAUCCACGCCAGAGCUUGCCGACAGCCCCAUGGGCGAACUCUCCAUCUGCCGUCUGGGGGAGGCACCACCCCGCUUCCAGAACGUUCGCGCUGAGUCACCGCACUCUCUCGGCCCUGCCUUCCUCCCGCACCGCCCGGCCUUUCGCUAUAACGCUAGUUGUAACGCAGAGGAGGAGCCAUCGGUUUAGCAAUCAGAAACGCACCGGCUAGGUAAAUCUGUGUUUCUCAUUUUCUUUUUGACUACUAAAGAACAAGCUAUUAACACCAUGGGAGGGAAGAGAGAAGAGGUGAUGCUGUCGGCUGCCAGUACUAGUGUACAGCAAACAUUACAGUGUACUUGGACUUCUGGAAACAGGGUUGUGUUCCAUACACAGCACAGUUUUCAAAACCUACCAUACUUCAUGCAUUCCAACACCCACUUUAGGAAAGAAAGAAAACCAACCCCAAAAAACCCAAACGCAAACCACACCACCCACCUCAUACAGCAAAAUGCUGCUGCUCCCUUCUGGGCCAGCCAUUUUGUUCAGCACCUCCAAAAAUGAUACUCUUUUCAAAAUGGCCUGUUAAAGAGCAAAGUAAACCAAAACCAAAGGGAAGGGAAGACAUUGUGACAAGAGCUUUCCUCUGAACUCUGGCAGUCUCCCUGUGACUUUUCUGUAAAAUGAGAGUAAGCUUACUCAGUGCACAGGAAAAAAACAUGGGCAACAAAUGGUGCAAAAAAGGACUGUGUGAAUGGUGUGAAUGUACAAUAUUUUACUCAAACAUAACACACGUAAAGAACUACUCUCCACAGUAAAUGUCAAAAAAAAGCUACUUUUCCUUUUCAUGUUCCCACUAAAGAGAGGAUUAAAAAAACCCAACAGAACCAACAGUACUUGACAAUUUUUAGGCCUACUGUUUUAUAACGUUUUCAUACGAUCCUUAAAAAAACAAAGCAACCCCCUCCCCAAAAAAAAAACCCCACCAAAACAAAACCCCAAAACGCCAACCAAACCCCCCAAAACCAACAAGAACAAAUCACCACAGGAUGUGUUAGGUACAGUAUGUUUUCGACAUAAAAUUUCAUCCCCUGUCAAUGAUUACAAAGUAGGAGUUCAGUGACCUCAUUAUAAAGAAUGAAUUGUUUCUGCUUGGUUAGAACAAUAUGAGUUAUUAACGUCUGUAAUCAAUAACUGACCAAAAACCACACCAGCACAAACCUCAGUAAUCAUCAUAAGGCUGGUGUCAGGAUGACUUGACUCAAGAGUAUCUUGCACAAACCCAAAAAGAUUAUUGUUUGGGGGAUGGGAAGGAAAUCUCAUGAGAUUAUUAAUCUGCAUUCAUUAGAUGGAUGUAUGGCAAAACUUCGCAUUUUUUCAAGACGCAUUCAAGUAAAAUUUGUUAUCAAAGUUUUCAGACAUUUUAAAGUGAGCAGAUGUUCUCAGGACCUAACUAUCCUCCCCAAUCAAGAAAGCCCACUAUGAAUUAAAAUUUGACACUAACCAAAAUUCUACUAGCAGUAAAGCAAGUAAUGCGCUAUCUACCUACCUGCAUUUCAUCAUCACCUGGGACCACACAUUCGCAUUGUUCCUGUCACUGAUCUUUUAUCCUAAUGCAGGAAACCCCCAUGACUAAUUACUUACAAAUCAGAGUUAGCUUAAGUCAGCAAUCAACCUGGGUUAAAAUCCUGUAUUUUACCGAUUUUUUUUUUUUUUUUGUUCUUCACAUUAAAUACACACAGUAAACGUGGACAAACCACAUCUCCUGAGAACCUGAUCUGCCUAGAAUACUUUGUUUCUUUAUAAACAGUUUAUUAUCAUUAACUGUAGAAGAUCAUUUAUGGGAACAGGUAUUUAAAAACUAAUUUAACCAUGAAGUGCUUGACUACAGCUAAAAGCUCCAAAUUAAUUGUGAGAAAAUAUUGAGGAAGGACUAAACUUUUAGGUGUUUCGUACUGACUUUCACAUCCUUAGCACUAAGUUCAACUUCAGACAAGAAAAUACUAUGAGCUACAUCCUGAUGAGUUAUCCAGCUCUUCUGCUGCUCCUCAUACGUUUCUGGAGAACUUUAAGUAACUCCCUAUUUAAGUACUCUCAAAUUAACUCCUGUCCAUCUUAAGAUCCCAUAAAGACCUUAACUAGCAUUUCAGACAGACACAAACCAAGAAAAUG